AAGCUUUCUGUAAUCCUGUUAAUCUGAUACCCUGAGCUGUGCCCUUCACAAAUAUAUAAUUCUCAGUACGUUUUCUCACCUUAGAUGAGACAGGAAGGGUAGAGGGGACUGGAGUUGGCUAAGUUCUCUUUCUCCAAGUCAGAGUAAACAUAUUACUGUCAGGAAGGGAAAAAUGUUUUAAGAAAGAAAAUCUUGACUAUGUAUCUGGGGAGGAGCCAAGAUGGCCGAAUAGGAACAGCUCCGGUCUACAGCUCCCAGCGUGAGCGACGCAGAAGACGGGUGAUUUCUGCAUUUCCAUCUGAGGUACCGGGUUCAUCUCACUAGGGAGUGCCA
rnacentral:lncRNA from 1 species